CUAAGUUAUUAUACUUAGUUAAAUGCCUAAUAAAUAAGUAAGGGAAUGAAAUUGGUGGCAAUUAUGAUGGUGUGAUAAACUUGAGGGACUAAGGUUGCCAAAAUAGAAACUGAAUUUAAUUAAAACAAAAUUAAAUCACACACAAACACACACAAGGUGUGUGCUACGAUCGAACAGGAGAAAGGAAAAAGGGGGGUGUGAACCUAAACCUCAAGAAAUCAUCAAAUUGAAAAGGGAAUCAAGGGCUGAUUGUAUGCAUGAACCAAGGAUGAUGAUCCCUUAAGCAUUUCUAACAUCAACGUAGGAGCCAUGUCAACAUGGACACGAGCAUGGAAGGGCAAUGGGUCAACGGUAAAUACGGAAGCUAUGCAUGAACUCGGACGCACGAGGUAAGUGAUUUCCGUAAUCACUUCUUAUUUUGUUUAAGUAAGGUAGCGUUAGUUAAUUAAGCAUGGUGAUGAUUGAAGUUUGAUAUGGUUUUGGUUGUAUGAAAUCGGUUAUUUUAGCUAAGUAGACCGAACGGGACAAUAUAAAGUUGUAAUGAUAUGACAGAUUGAUGUAAUGCUACGGUAUUGUAACCGGGUAAUGGGUAGAAUUGCACAUAAGUGCGCCAACCGAGAAUGGGGACUUAGGUUAAUGGUCAAAAGACUUAGCUUUUGACCUUAAAUAAAAGAAUGGUUUUUAACAAAAUACGAACAGGUCGAAUAAAUGUGCAUAAACUUCAUAAUGCUAAUGAAAUGCGUAAAGAUUAAGGACCCGGGUAAGGGCGUUUAGCCCAUAAUGUAAGGACAAGUCUUACGGACAACUAGAAAUAAUUGUGAGCAAUUUGAUUGAGGAAUGUCCGAGAUACGCAAGUUUUAAUAAUAAAAAUAUGAAUGGGUUGAAUAGUCGAAACGAGUAUGUAGAGCCGAAGGCUUUAAGUUAAGAUUUUUCCUUGUUUGGAUGUUAUAUUACAAGCUCAUAUGUUAGAAAAUCGAUUUACCAACGCAUAGGAAAAAGAAUCAUGUUAAUCGGAUUCGUAGAUCAAAAGUUAUGCAAAUUGUAAGUCGAAAAUACCCUUGGAAUUCAUAGCUGGGAAUUUACAGCAGCAAAUUGGAAGUUUCUGUCGAAAUAGAGCUGUCGCGCCCCGCGAGCGCCAGUCAGCUGGCAAAUUUUGGUUUUCUUGUUUGAUUUUGCAUCCGGACUCGAUGUUUUAAUGAUUUUCGAUGUCCCUUAACUUAUAUUAAAGCCGGUUUGAAACGCGAGUGAUGUUAUGAGCCUCCGGAUAAUGAAAGUAUGUAUUUUUCUUCGUGUUAGAGAAGAAAGAUUAUAAGUAAUCGAGACUAGAAAUGAGUGGGCAUGCAGUAUGGUAAGUAUAAAACUUAUAUCACGGAAGUUGCGAUUAUGAUAAGAAAUGCGAGAUUAAGUGAAUAAAAGUAGUAAGCGAGGGCUCGCGUCUAUGUGUGUGUAUGUGAAUGUGUGCGUAUGUAUGUAGGUGUAUAUGUUGUAUGUAUGUAGGAAUUAGGAACGUAUACGUUUGGGGAUGCGAGAUGUUAUAAGUAUAUGAAGGAAUGGUUUGGACUGGUUUCAUUAUGUUCUAGCAUUAAUGUUUGCUAAUCGUGUGUUUGAGAUUGGAAUGAAAUGCAGGUACAUGAACACCGGGUUCAUGAAGUAUCGAAGUCGAAUUCGGAACAAGAAAAUACGAAAGGAUAGUUGAAUGAAUUAAAGUUCCUACUGUUAAAUGUUAUUCAAUAUUGGACUAUAUGAGAAUCAUGUCGUAUGAUAUUGUUAAUGACUAAUGGUUAUGAUGUAUGCGAUGUCCACAGGUAUUGCACGGAUUACCGCUACUACUACCGAAGAUAAGCAAGCGUUGAUCGAGUCACGGAGCAAGGGUUGUACGGAAAUAUGUAUUGUCUUGAAGCGUUAAUUUAAUGUGGUUAUUGUAAAUCCCUUUUGUAAAUGUUUAUCAUUUGUAUUUGAGCCUUCAAGUAAGUAAUGUGUCUAAAUAAGAAAGAAAUUUUUGGGCUCGUA